GUUUGAGCUUUCUGUGCUACAACAUAUAUUUCUAUAUUUCUUUUCUUUCUUUUUCAUUUUCCAAUCCACUAAACAUACAAAAACGCCUGUUUUUAGAUACUUAUUGUGUGCCUGGCUCCCUGUAUGCCAUCUGCAAAGCUCAUCAGAAAGUCGGUGGCCUCCGCAGUUGGCAUGCGAGGAGCCAUGCAUGCUGCAACUCAUUUAGUCCAGGAAGGGAAUGUUUCUCUGAUUGAAUUAAAGUCUAUCACAUGUAGCCAUAUAGUCACAGAACACUUUAACCCUAAUUCUUUCCAUCUAGCUCUAAUAAACAUUUAGGACAUUAGAGUGAACUUGGAAUGAACCAGGAAAGAUUAUUCAUAGUGGAGAGGACAGUCAAGCCCAUAUCCGUUUUCUUUUCCCACACUUUAUGAUUGUUUUAAUUAACAGUCAGCAAGAGAGAGUUCGACUGAAUUGGUAAGUGAGAACAUUCAUAGAAGUUUCAUCUUUAUUUGUCUUUCCUUUUUCUUUUUUUUACUCAUUAUUAAUGAUUUAAAAUUAUUGAAAUUUUCCUGCUAUGAAGGUUGCUUUUGUGUCUGAUUUACACUGAAGGCAUGGAAACUCAACAUGGGGCAUACAAUUCAUUACAUGGAGAUAGCUAUUGAAGAGAAAAUAAAGAAAGCUUCCACUAUUAUUUGUUACCCUCCAACGAAUGAACAUUCAACUAUGAUUCCUACAUGGUAAAUUCCUGUGU
rnacentral:misc_RNA from 1 species